rnacentral:rRNA from 1 species
AUGGGAACGCGAAGAACCUUACCUAGACUUGACAUCUCCUGAAUAGUGUAGAGAUACAUGAAGCCCUUCGGGGCGAGGAAGACAGGUGGUGCAUGGUUGUCGUCAGCUCGUGUCGUGAGAUGUUGGGUUAAGUCCCGCAACGAGCGCAACCCUUAUUACUAGUUGCUACCAUUAAGUUGAGCACUCUAGUGAGACUGCCCGGGUUAACCCGGGAGGAAGGCGGGGAUGGACGUCAAAUCAUCAUGCCCCUUAUGUCUAGGGCAACACACGUGCUACAAUGGUGAGUACAGAUAGAUGCGAUACCGCAAGGUGGAGCCAAACUCUAAAACUCAUCCCAGUUCGGAUUGUAGCUGCAACUCGCCUACAUGAAGUUGGAGUUGCUAGUAAUCGCGAAUCAGAAUGUCGCGGUGAAUACGUUCCCGGGUCUUGUACACACCG